UACGUAGGGGGGCAAGCGUUUGUCCGGAAUCAUUGGGCGUAAAGAGCGUGUAGGCGGCCCGGUAAGUCUGUUGUGAAAGUCCAAGGCUCAACCCUGGAAUGCCGAUGGAUACUGCCGGGCUAGAGUUCGGAAGAGGCGAGUGGAAUUCCUGGUGUAGCGGUGGAAUGCGCAGAUAUCAGGAGGAACACCUAUAGCGAAGGCAGCUCGCUGGGACGACACUGACGCUGAGACGCGAAAGCGUGGGGAGCGAACAGG
rnacentral:rRNA from 1 species